CUGCUGGGUAGGAACUUACAAGGGGGUUACCAAUGGGCUACAGGGGGUUGAAGGUGGGUAACCGAUGGGUAACCCAUGGGUUACCGACCCAAUCAGUGCCUUAGGGCUGCUGCCACGCUGGGCGCCACUGCUGCCGCCACGCUGGGUGUCGCUGCUGCCGCCACGCUGGCCGCCACUGCUGCCGCCAUGCUGGCCGAUGCUGCUGCUGCUGCCGCUGGGCUUCGGGAUUUCGUAGGUCGCAGUCAGCACCUUGCUGAUGCGACCACUGCUAUGAAAUGCAGCCAUCUCUGGCGGGUAGGCAUCCAGGAACUUCUGCUGAUCCAGGAUGGGGGCGUGACAGAGGAUGUUGCGCAGCAACCUGUGGAACCAGCGAAGCCCAACCUUGACGUCAGUCUGAGCCCUGUCGUCCCGCUCAAAAUUGGUCUUGGUGCUGCGGCUGUUGCAGCGGUGGUCCCGGACCUGCAGGUAGAUGGAGCACCGGGGCCGUGAUCAACGCAGUUGCAUGGGAAGCAGGGAUGUACAUGCCAGUGGCAUUGCGGCCCGGCCCUGUUGGCUGGCUGCAGUCCCCAUGAUGACUCCAGCUGUUCGGACAAGCGUCAUGCCUGGAAUUCGACAGGUGCUGCACUCUGACCCCUUGUUCCGUUUGCCUGCCCUCUUGGUGCCUGGUUGGGUUGUCUUGGUCGCCCCUCUAACGGUCCUUACUACAUUUCGCUUGNCAGGGUGACUUGNGAGGCAGCGAGNNNNNNNNNNNNNNNNNNNNNNNNNNNNNNNNNNNNNNNNNNNNNNNNNNCGUUUGCCACAAGCCUGCAGCUGGCAGAGCCUGGCGCGGAGGCGUCUGCGAUUGACCGGCGAAAAAGGGAAAGGGAAACUUGUUAAUCCAUGAUUGAUUUCUUUUCAGAACUAGCCAGAGACACAAUGGAUUUCAAGCUAAAUUGCGUUCCCCAAUCCACUUCGAACUGUAUGAAUGCGAAUGAAUAAUCUUAUUAGGGACAAUAAUACGGCACGGGAGUUUCAUGCCCUCAAAGCGGGAACAAACACUAAAACUGAAUACAUACAUAGUUCUAAAUCUUCUACUAAAAUUUUCCUGCAGCGUUAGAGGCCUUUAAUUCAUAUUGGCGAACGAUGCUUCCCGAGCUACCGGGAUACUGUAGGUUCAACAUGUACACGUAACAUGUACAUUUACAGAAAUGUACUAAAAUGAAUUCACGAAGUGUGCAGCAAAUAAGAUAAGUAGCCUAUAGGCCCAUGUCCAUAGUCCAGGGCAACGGAGGGGGUUACCCUGGGGCCGUGUUACCCCUCCUGCUGGGUAGGAACUUACAAGGGGGUUACCAAUGGGCUACAGGGGGUUGAAGGUGGGUAACCGAUGGGUAACCCAUGGGUUACCGACCCAAUCAGUGCCUUAGGGCUGCUGCCACGCUGGGCGCCACUGCUGCCGCCACGCUGGGUGUCGCUGCUGCCGCCACGCUGGCCGCCACUGCUGCCGCCAUGCUGGCCGAUGCUGCUGCUGCUGCCGCUGGGCUUCGGGAUUUCGUAGGUCGCAGUCAGCACCUUGCUGAUGCGACCACUGCUAUGAAAUGCAGCCAUCUCUGGCGGGUAGGCAUCCAGGAACUUCUGCUGAUCCAGN
rnacentral:lncRNA from 1 species